AAAGUACUCCCUCCAUCCCAAAAUUCUUGUCUUAGAUUUUUCUAGAUAUGGAUGUAUCAAGUCACAUUUUAGUAUUAGAUACAUUCGUAUCUAGACAAAUCUAAGACAAGAAAUUUGGGACAGAGGGAGUAGUUG
rnacentral:pre_miRNA from 1 species